ACCUAAGCAAGCCUGGGCAAUGGCGGGCGCCCCUCCGCCAGCCUCACUGCCGCCUUGCAGUUUGAUCUCAGACUGCUGUGCUAGCAAUCAGCGAGACUCCGUGGGCGUAGGACCCUCCGAGCCAGGUGCCGGAUAUAAUCUCGUGGUGCGCCGUUUUUUAAGCCCGUCCGAAAAGCGCAAUAUUCGGGUGGGAGUGACCCGAUUUUCCAGGAGGGGGAGGAGCCAAGAUGGCCGAAUAGGAACAGCUCCGGUCUACAGCUCCCAGCCUGAGCGACGCAGAAGACGGGUGAUUUCUGCAUUUCCAUCUGAGUGAACAUAGAUUCCUUCAGUAAAUAUUGGGAAAACAUUUGCUUCAGGCCCAUUACUGGGUACCGCUUUGAUACAGAGGACACACCAAGGAACAAGACAGAUAGGACCUCUGCCUCUGGUAAGUUUGCAUUCCAGAGGGAGGAGAAGACAAUAAGCAAGCAAGCCAUCAAGACCACGUCAGAUGAGACGAAUAAAGUCAGACAGCUUCCAAGGAGUGGAUGCUUAUGGAGAGAUCACAUGGAGCCUUGUAGCUGAUUUAUAAUCUCAUGGUCCUCAUUCAUACAUCAAACCCCUGAAGGCCUGGCAUUUUUAUCUCCCGACUCAACCUGCAUGCUACCAGAAGCUCGACAAAAUUACGCCUGUUUAGGAAAAGACUGGAGGAAUUCGUGGAGGAAUUCUUGGAGGGGGAACACUGAAGUCCGGUGAGUGGUCCUACAAAAACACUUGAAGGGAUUGAGUUCCAGCAAGAAGAGGAGAUUGGCAUCUAAUUUCCUGUUGGGUUAUGCUUAUGCAGCAGUCUCUGAUCUAUAUUCUGUGACUAUUGAGAAGGAGCAAAGGCUAUUGGAGGAAGGUGAUGGAGUGAAAAAGGGAAAGCAGUUGAGCUUCCUACAUGCUCCAUGCUGUGGCAAGAAAAAAAAUGUGUAAGUUUCCACUAGGUCAAGAGCUGUCUUUUUGCUUAUGGGGUCCAGCCCUAGAGGGGAGGAAGGCUCUUAGGGGCAAGAGAGUGAAGGGUGAACCAUGAGUGGGGCAGCUGUUUAGGUUAGAAGUUAGAAGUCUUCCUGAAUGGAACUCAUCUCCCAUGUUAGGAGCUGGGACUUCUGUAGACCCCAUUUGUGCCCCCACUAGAGAGUCAGUCCCUGGAUACCUGCCUUACCAGGGGCAUCCACUGGCAAGAGAUGAUUGCAGUAGCAUUUCAUCAAUAUGAGAAUUUAUGAAUUCAUGUCCUUCUUUCCACCAACACCCAUCCAAGGAAAAGGAGGUGUAAAAAAGGAGGAAGUAGAGAAGAGUGAAAAAGCUGACCUUGUUUUUCCUUCUCUCUCUUUUUUUUUUUUUUUUUGCGACAGAGUCUCGCUCUGUCACCCAGACUGGAGUGCAGUGGUGCGAUCUUGACUCACUGCAAGCUCUGCCGCCUGGGUUCACGCCAUUCUCCUGCCUCAGCCUCCCGAGUAGCUGGGACGGACUACAGGUACCUGCCACCACACCCGGCUAGUUUUUUUUUUUUUUUUUUGUAUUUUUAGUAGAGACGGGGUUUCACCGUGUUAGCCAGGAUGGUCUCAAUCUCCUGACCUCUUGAUCUGCCCGCCUCGGCCUCCCAAAGUGCUGGGAUUACAGGCGUAAGUCACCGCGCCUGGCCAAAAGCUGACCUUCUAUUCACUUCCUGUUUCAAGGAUGGGACAACUGGAGGGAUAGCUCUUUCAUCCUCCAGCAGGCUAGUCUGUGUAUGUUGUAAUAACAAUGGCAGAGGUUCAAGCUCUUUUCAAGCCACUGCCUGCAUCACAUCUGCUUGGAGAAAGCAAGUCACAUAGCUGAGCCUAGAAUCCAAACGAGAGGACACCACACAGUGACAUGAUCAAGGGCAUGAAUACAGAGCGGGUAAAGUACUGGGGUUGUUGGUGCAUCUACCACAGCGGUUGUGGAGGUAAGUGGAAGAGGUGGGACCAAACCAGGUUUGGCUUGCCUCUGAGGCCUGUGGUCUUCCUCUAGGCUCAGCUGGCUCCCUUGUACCCUUGGAUACAUCUUACAUGAUCAAGGCACGUGUUCCAAGUAGGACAAUGGCAUGACAUAUAGAUAAUACAAGGUCCAAAGCUAACAAAGUUGCUCUUUGGGUUCCCUCUCCCCUGGUGGGUUUCAUUUCCUGAGUGCAUUAGUGUCUUUGCUGCUUUGGCAGAGAGCUGAGCUGAUUCUUGGGAUUGUACUUCUGGAGACUGGCCAGUUUGCACAGUUCCAGCAUUGUCGGCCAGCUCAGACACCAUAUGGACCAGUGCUGUGGCAUUGGGUACCAGGCUUUCCUGGACAUCUUCGAAUUGGCCACUUUCCAUUGCCAAUGAGUAGAGUGCUCAAAAAAGUCAGUUAAAUUAGGCUUGGUAAAGGGACACUGCAUCUUUGAGUAAUGAGGUUGGGAAACAGGGAAAACAUUUUCCACUAGCUCAUGGCUCACUGUAUGGCAUUCCGGUUUCAUGACACUUCAUAAUAAAUCAUUGCUUAUCACUCACAUGGGAACGGAACAUGGCUCCAGUUAAGAUUCGUUAGUGAUUGUAAAGAAGCAACGUGGAUUGCUGUAUAUCAGGACUUCUUGAUCAUCUUCCUGUCCACUGUAGGCACUUUUCUAUCGUUAUAUUUACCGUAACUGUUGUUUAAAGCAUAAAUAAGUGGAAGGAAAGAGCACCCAAUAUGAAUCAUGAAAAUAAAUUUAUCUUAUUUAUGUGUUUAUGCAAGCAUUUGACAAUUAUUCUGCACAGCAGUUUGCAUCCAGGAUUGGUAGCUGCUGCAUUCAGAAAAGUUCCUUACACUUCAAGUUUCUCCCUCUCAUCCCUCCUGCCUUUAUUUUUUUAAUAAUGUGAAAUGCCAGCACAUUCACAUUCAAGGAUGGGAGGCCCUGGCAUGUGUUUUAUUCAAGUUUGAGGCAUCAGGUUACUGAACCACAUCGGCCUCAAUGCUCAUGACAGAGGCCUACCAGCAGACAUGUUCGUUACAUGCAAUUCAUUCAGAGCUUGGAGGAGCAAGGGACAGUGAUUUAGAAUAGAAAAAGGAGCCAGGGGUUGGGCUGGGGGGCCAAGUGGCAAAAUAAAACCUUUAAUUUAAAGAUGCUCCAGCUGGUUGGCCACUUGGGAUGAAUGAAGACUUUGGUAGGAAAGUCCUAGCUGUCCAAGCAGACCACCCUGGGAGGUUUGUGAUUUACACACCAAAGGUUACAGGGCUUGUGGACACUUUGACAUACCCUAGAAACUUCCCGGGCUAGAAUGUCCACGGAGAAAAGACUCAGCGGGUUUGCACAGUUGAGGAGGCUUUCAGUGUUUACUUACGGAUGAACAGGAAAACACAAGCCUGUCCUUGAAAUGCUGACAGGGCUCUCGUGAUUAACUCCUGCCAAAUUGAUUUCCCUAGCUCCCCUCCCACAUGUGUGGGCCUCUCUCAAUCCCUUCCUGGUGAUUCCCAGCACACUGCAGUACCGGCACUGGAGGACUCACUCUCUCCUUUUCUUGCCUGUUCCCUCGGUGCCCACUCCUCCCCUGUCCCCGGCACUCACCUAAUAGAGACACAGUUGGGAAAGGGGUAGCCACCAGUGGCUCUCUCACUAGUGUCCGUGGAGUUGAGAUGGAGCCGUGUGUGGAGGGAGAGCAUUGUCUGGCAGCAACUUUUGUUUCUUGAGAGUUUCCAGAAUAUGCUAGAAUGUGCGACAGAGAACCACGACUAAUCAGCAAACAGAGCUCAGAAUGGAAGAUGGAGAAGGUUCUCAGGGAAACUGGGGCUUCAGUGAACCAUGACCUGUCCAUUUCUUGGGCUGAAGAGGAGAUUUGUUCAAACAUAGGGUGACUUCUCAUCCUGGUUUUAGUCCCUUGUCCUGGGAAAUGCCUCAGUCCCGGGAAAACGAUGAUGGCUGGCCACCGUACUUAAACUCUAGAGAGACGAUUCCCAGGGACGCGUUCCCUCUCUCCAAACCUCUCUUCAGUGUUGAUGGUGCCUUGGUUCCCCCAUCCACUCUGCGAAUGCCCUUGGAACACACCAGGCCUAGCUCUCCACGGGUUUCAACAGGCAGUAGCCACCAUUGGUGGAGAGACUUCUGGGUCUCCAGCUUCAUGGGUACUUUCAACUAAUUAUCUCUGCUCCUCAGACCUACCCUACAAAGUGUGUAUAACUGGCUCAUUUUACGGAUGCAGAAACUAUGGCUCAGAGGGCAUUCAGUGAUUUGUUCAAGUUCUCCCAGCAGAGCUACUUGGGUGUGACUGCCAAGCCCCUUCCCUCAUGGAAAUGAUGUACAUUCACAGCCAUUAACUUGCUUUAAGCCUUAGAAUGACAUUUGAGCAUGGGUGAGACAGAUGAUACCUGAAGAUCGGAGAGGCUAGGUAGCUUAAUCAAGGCCACCCAGGGCUCAUGGAUGGAAGAAUCGGGGUUAAAGGAUUCUAAAUCUAUGUUGCCCUUUGCAUGGACAUCUCUUUCUUCCUUCAUGUGGAAGAAAAUGGAGGCCAGAAUUUCUUGAAUUUUUCUCCUAUUUAGAGUUGAUCAAGAUGCAGUCUAAACUGUCCCAGUUCAUAUUUGAAUAUUUUAAAGUGUGUUGAUUAUACAUUAAAACGGUACUUCCCAUGUUUUCUAAAUAUUUAAAAGAUCCCUCUUAAACAUCAUGGCAGAAAUAUUAAGCUCACUUAUCAGAGUUAUAAAGGCUUUUAAAAUAUAUAUAUUUCAUGGCAUUUCAAGCAAUUGAUCACACCAGUUGGGGGAAGACAAGAGGGUGACCACUUGUAUGCAGAAAAAAAAAUACUGGCAAGAAAAUGUGGCAAGUGCUUCCAGUAAAGACGCUUCUUUGGAAUUAAAUGGUGAUGGAUGUUUAGAAACCA
rnacentral:lncRNA from 1 species